ACCUGGGAACUGGAGAGAAGCAAAGCCAGAUCUAGAGUAAGGCUGUUUGGAGGAAGAUCAACAGAGCUAUGGACCUACAAGUGUCAGACAAGUACCAGCAGCAGUGACAGCUAUCCUGCCAGGAUUGUGUGCAAGAACAAAAGGCUGGGAAUUUCUAGCACAUGCAUUUGGUAUGUCAGACACUGCCUGGAGUGCUGUAAACCCUCAGUGUAGGCUUUGAAUUUGUGUGUGUUGGCCAUUAGUAAAGACAUUUCUGGUGAACUCCUCUGCUCACAGGGGCCUUGUGUCACUCAUGUCCCCAUGCAGGCUGACCAAACUGGCUUUAUGCAUAUGCUGCAUCAGGUUAUAUCUCUGCUGAAAGUCAUGCCAAGGAAAAAUAAAUAAGAGGGAAAAAAUCUUUCUGAAAUCAAGAAUAUCCUGACUCAGUUCUGGACAGAUGACUUCCUAGAAUUCCCCUGAGACCUUCUUCUCUGCCUGCUCCUGUGUGUGAACCAAAUCUUGGGAGGGUGUGGUGUUCAUAGCCAAGGGCUAGGAAAACAGCCAUUCAGUAGGAAGGAAGGCAAAAAACAUAAGGGAUAAUUGAGAAAAUAUGGUGGGUAUAUGGUAAUGAAAGAUCCCCAUUUUGAUGUCUGAUAUAAGGCUUACAAAACUAUCCAUAAGACUACAAAACUAUCCCAAAAUUUUAAGGAGCCACUUGCACCAUCUCGGAUCACAGCAGGAAACAUGGCAGGAGACAGCUUUCCACGUUGGCUCAGGAGUAAUUCUUUAGGUGUAGAGCAUUUGUGGGAUGAGCUCUCCCCGAGAAGACACUGAGAUACAAAUCCAAGCCCAAAGAACAGAAGAAACAAAACCUAAUCUUGCCAGAAAAUCCUGCUAUAUGACGUUGCUAGCAGAGGCUGAGGACAGCAAGUUGACCUUCUGCGUAACCUACGUCCGUGCUCAAGCUCAAUGGAUCACUCAAUCACUGCCACUCUCUCACUCACUACUAAAUCUCACUACAACCAGUUCAAC